rnacentral:tRNA from 1 species
GGGCCGGUAGCUCAGCUUGGUAGAGCACCUCGAGGUAAUAAAAACUCUGGUGAAACUUUUAUCGAGUAAAGAAAUGAGGUGGUCGUGGGUCCAAAUCCCAUCCGGCCCG